rnacentral:rRNA from 1 species
UACGUAGGUGGCAAGCGUUGUCCGGAUUUAUUGGGCGUAAAGAGCUCGUAGGCGGCUUGUCGCGUCGACUGUGAAAUCCCGCGGCUCAACCGCGGGUCUGCAGUCGAUACGGGCAGGCUAGAGUUCGGUAGGGGAGACUGGAAUUCCUGGUGUAGCGGUGAAAUGCGCAGAUAUCAGGAGGAACACCGGUGGCGAAGGCGGGGUCUCUGGGCCGAUACUGACGCUGAGGAGCGAAAGCGUGGGGGAGCGAACAGG